rnacentral:misc_RNA from 1 species
CUGAGUGAGGGCCCCUGGCCCGACCUCCCACCCCAUGACAAACGUCCGGUUUGCCUCGGGGGUGACCCGGCUCUCUGCAACGGAGUGGCCGGGUGCCCCCGGAGGUACCCCUACUCUGCAUCUUUGCGUCGGAGUCGAAACGAAAAUGGAAUGA